rnacentral:rRNA from 1 species
AUGCUAGUCGAACGAUGAAGCCCAGCUUGCUGGGUGGAUUAGUGGCGAACGGGUGAGUAACACGUGAGUAACCUGCCCUUGACUCUAGGAUAAGCCCGGGAAACUGGGUCUAAUACUGGAUAGGAACGUCUACCGCAUGGUGGAUGUUGGAAAGAAUUUCGGUCAUGGAUGGACUCGCGGCCUAUCAGCUUGUUGGUGAGGUAAUGGCUCACCAAGGCGACGACGGGUAGCCGGCCUGAGAGGGUGACCGGCCACACUGGGACUGAGACACGGCCCAGACUCCUACGGGAGGCAGCAGUGGGGAAUAUUGCACAAUGGGCGAAAGCCUGAUGCAGCGACGCCGCGUGAGGGAUGACGGCCUUCGGGUUGUAAACCUCUUUCAGUAGGGAAGAAGCGAAAGUGACGGUACCUGCAGAAGAAGCACCGGCUAACUACGUGCCAGCAGCCGCGGUAAUACGUAGGGUGCGAGCGUUAUCCGGAAUUAUUGGGCGUAAAGAGCUCGUAGGCGGUUUGUCGCGUCUGUCGUGAAAGUCCGGGGCUUAACCCCGGAUCUGCGGUGGGUACGGGCAGACUAGAGUGCAGUAGGGGAGACUGGAAUUCCUGGUGUAGCGGUGGAAUGCGCAGAUAUCAGGAGGAACACCGAUGGCGAAGGCAGGUCUCUGGGCUGUAACUGACGCUGAGGAGCGAAAGCAUGGGGAGCGAACAGGAUUAGAUACCCUGGUAGUCCAUGCCGUAAACGUUGGGCACUAGGUGUGGGGAACAUUCCACGUUUUCCGCGCCGCAGCUAACGCAUUAAGUGCCCCGCCUGGGGGAGUACGGCCGCAAGGCUAAAA